rnacentral:rRNA from 1 species
CCUACGGGUGGCAGCAGUGAGGAAUAUUGGUCAAUGGACGAGAGUCUGAACCAGCCAAGUAGCGUGAAGGAUGACUGCCCCAUGGGUUGUAAACUUCUUUUAUAAAGGAAUAAAACGAGGCACGUGUGCCUUUUUGCAUGUACUUUAUGAAUAAGGAUCGGCUAACUCCGUGCCAGCAGCCGCGGUAAUACGGAGGAUCCGAGCGUUAUCCGGAUUUAUUGGGUUUAAAGGGAGCGUAGAUGGGUUGUUAAGUCAGUUGUGAAAGUUUGCGGCUCAACCGUAAAAUUGCAAUUGAUACUGGAAGUCUUGAGUACAGUUGAGGUAGGCGGAAUUCGUGGUGUAGCGGUGAAAUGCUUAGAUAUCACGAAGAACCCCGAUUGCGAAGGCAGCUUACUAAACUGUGACUGACAUUGAUGCUCGAAAGUGUGGGUAUCAAACAGGAUUAGAUACCCGUGUAGUC